ACGUGCGCAGGCGGUUAUAUAAGACAGAUGUGAAAUACCCCGGGCCGUCAACCUGGGAACUGCAUUUGUGACUGUAUAGCUGGAGUGCGGCAGAGGGGGAUGGAAUUCCGCGUGUAGCAGUGAAAUGCGUAGAUAUGCGGAGGAACACCGAUGGCGAAGGCAAUCCCCUGGGCCUGCACUGACGCUCAUGCACGAAAGCGUGGGGAGCAAACAGGAUUAGAUACCCUAGU
rnacentral:rRNA from 1 species